UACGGGGGGGGCAAGCGUUGUUCGGAAUUACUGGGCGUAAAGGGUUUGUAGGUGGCUUGCUAAGUCAGACGUGAAAUCCCUCAGCUUAACUGGGGAACUGCGUCUGAGACUGGCGAGCUUGAGUGCAGGAGAGGAACGCGGAAUUCCAGGUGUAGCGGUGAAAUGCGUAGAUAUCUGGAGGAACACCGGUGGCGAAGGCGGCGUUCUGGACUGCAACUGACACUGAGAAACGAAAGCGUGGGGAGCAAACGGG
rnacentral:rRNA from 1 species